rnacentral:rRNA from 1 species
CCUACGGGUGGCAGCAGUGGGGGAUAUUGCACAAUGGGGGGAACCCUGAUGCAGCGACGCCGCGUGGGUGAAGGAGUGCUUCGGCAUGUAAAGCCCUAUCGGCAGGGAAGAAGCAAGACGGUACCUGACUAAGAAGCCCCGGCUAACUACGUGCCAGCAGCCGCGGUAAUACGUAGGGGGCGAGCGUUAUCCGGAUUUACUGGGUGUAAAGGGAGCGUAGACGGCGGAACAAGUCAGAAGUGAAAACCCGGGGCUCAACCCUGGGAGUGCUUUUGAAACUGUUUGGCUGGAGUGCAGGAGAGGUAAGCGGAAUUCCUAGUGUAGCGGUGAAAUGCGUAGAUAUUAGGAGGAACACCAGUGGCGAAGGCGGCUUACUGGACUGUAACUGACGUUGAGGCUCGAAAGCGUGGGGAGCAAACAGGAUUAGAUACCCUGGUAGUC